UAGGGAAUCUUGGGCAAUGGGCGAAAGCCUGACCCAGCGAUGCCGCGUGUGCGAAGAAGGCCUUAGGGUUGUAAAGCACUUUCAGUUGCGAAGAAAAGCCGCGACCUAAUACAUCGCGGUCUUGACGUUAACAACAGAAGAAGUACCGGCUAACUCCGUGCCAGCAGCCGCGGUAAUACGGAGGGUACGAACGUUAAUCGGAAUUACUGGGCGUAAAGCGCGCGUAGGCGGUUUGAUAAGUGGGAUGUGAAAGCCCCGGGCUCAACCUGGGAACUGCAUUCCAAACUGUCAGACUAGAGUGUGGUAGAGGGAGGUAGAAUUUCCUGUGUAGCGGUGAAAUGCGUAGAUAUAGGAAGGAAUACCGAUGGCGAAGGCAGCCUCCUGGACCAACACUGACGCUGAGGUGCGAAAGCGUGGGGAGCAAACAGG
rnacentral:rRNA from 1 species